CUAAAUCGAUUCUUCAAUUCUCUGGAAGGCUGCAAACCUAAUUUUAUACAUCAAGAUCGACGAACAACGAUGUCAGGUACGCAACCUUUUCUUAUUCAAUCUAUUUUGUUGAAUCUAGUGGUUUGCACGAUCUAGGUUAUUAUUGAAUUAUUUGAGAUUAAUUCUUAACAGCUGAAUCCCAUUACAACAAGUCCCACGCAAAACUAUUACGUAUUCCAAGUUGGCCAACUCCUCGCUUACAUCCCAUUGGACCGGCAAAAUCGUAAACGAGACCGGUACAUCCUUGCUAUCAACAAAAUAAUAACUUGACACAUGCUUCGGCAAUAUUUCACCCUCCUCAUCAGACGGUGCCAUUAAGUACACACCAAAACCUACUCUCAACUUCGUUUAAUUCUUCUUUGCUGGCUAAGCAAUUACUGGUAAGUAGUAGCCCAAAAAGACCCUGACGAGCAAUGUCCAAUGAUCAAUCAAAAAAGAAAAAGAAAAAGAAAAAGAAAGGGAAGCGAGCAGAAAUAGAAACAGAGAAAACUAAAGGGAGUGAAAAAAAGGUUUUUCCACUGAGAUUCCGUUUCGUUGCUGAGAAAACAAAGAAAAUUAAGCAUAAGUCGAGAAAUAAAAGCUAAAGCAGUAAUAAAUAACAUGUAACCAUGUUUUUCCUUCCAUAUACAAACUGAAUCGAAAGGAUAAAAUUAAACUAAAUCAGUGACUCUGCUUUUCAUUUUUUUUUAUUAUUUAUUUUAAUUUUUCCUGAAAGUGGCCUAGGUUAUGUACCAUCUGUAAAAAGAGUAAUUGCACUUUAGAAAAAAUGCUCAACAAUACUCUAAACUUCAACUUUUCUUUUGUUUUCCUGCAUUUUCUCAACAGCCAAACAACUCCAAGUUAGUUAGACCUCAGUUAAAAGCUUCAAAAAGAAUACUGCCAACAAAAAAAAAAAAAAAAAAAAAAAAAAAGCUUCAAAAAGAAAUUCUAUUCAAAAACGAAAAAGAAGAAAAACAUACCAGGCUUGAAUGGAGGUGAGCUAAUGCAGUGUAUCGUUGAGCGGUUGAGCGAUAGCCGAGAAAAAGAACUUUGGGCGUGGCAGUUUCUUUUAGCUGAAAAAGUUGCAUAGUAACGUCGUGUUAACUUCCAGGGAAAGUUUUUCUGCGCACGAUAUGAAGUUCAUACGGCAACAUUUCCCAUGAUAGAAAGAGAAGAUGCG
rnacentral:lncRNA from 1 species